UUUAUAGUUCAGAUAAGUCGAAUUGUUCUUGUUUUUAAGUAUGUUACGUGACUUAGACACUUGAUGAUUUACAUAUAAUAAAAUAUAAUAUGAAGUCAUUAUUAUUGCCUGGUAAAAAUAAAGAAUAAAAGAAAAGAAAAGAGAAAAGUGGUAUGAAGCAUGAAUGGUCCAAAAUAUAUGUGUCUUGAUAUGUAUAUUGAAUCAAGUGUCUCAUUGGGUUUUUUAUCUCUGAGUGAUAUCUGUUCCCCUAGCCCUUCGAGGUAUCUGUUUCUCCCUCCCCCAUUUGGUCUGGAAAGACGUAAGAGAACCGCUCCCAGUGGAUGACGGUGUACCCUCUGACGAGAGUGGUAACGCGAAUAUCUAUUAGGGGUCACCCUUAGCUAAGUGUUGUCGUGACUGUAGAUAUUAAAUCGGGCCACUAUGGUUGGUACGACCGUGGUCGUAGCUCGUACUAUGGUUUGGCCAGCCAGAAAUGGGCUUGAGCAAAUUGUCGUAUCUGUAUCUGAUUUGGUCAUUCCAUCUGGAUAGUUGGAAAUCUGUAU
rnacentral:lncRNA from 1 species